UUCAAUUAUUUUACCGACGUCAGUAUUUUAGUUGAUGUUGUAAUACGUAAAUUUAUGAAAUGAUGAUGAAAUACAGAUGUCGGCGACCACAAGUGAAUGGAUGAAAGGCGUUUCUUGAUAGCAUAAAUCCAAUGCUUUUGUACAAAACACCGACGAUCAUCUAAAAUGCAAAGUGCCCGAAGAGGAGUGCUAGACGUCACAGCAUGGAAAGUUGAAAUAUAUACUGAAAUUGUCAUAUAAAAUUUAAUGGUGUAAAAGAGGCUUAAAUCUAUUGUUGUGCAUAUAAGGUAGAAUAUCAACAGAGGAUGUGAAAAUAUGGUAGAAAUAACGCAGAGGAAGAAUAUUGGAGACAGUGAAACCAAUAAAUGACGUCUUCAAUAUUGCUUUUUGCCAAAAGAACUAAAGAUUCACGUUGUAUCAUGAAUUAUCGUUAGAUUGCGUAGAAAAAGAAGCUUAGAAUUGAAAAUAAUUCUUCAAGUCUGGCUAAGCUGUAUGGCAGAUAACAAUCUGACCAAUUACUGCAUUAUGAAUAAUAAUUAUUUACGUCGCAAUGUGAAGUCAACACGCAGUUGGUAUGAGGGGACUGGAUCUGGCUCAUGAUCAAAAUUUGUACUUGUACGUGACCAUUGUUCUGAUAAUUUAUAGUGUUGACGGAUGUUAUUAGUAAUAUAGUUUAGUCUGAGCGCACAUCAUUGAUUCUGAAGAUUGCUUUUAUUCAAUAGCUGGCUUCUUGCUUUUCUGUAUCGUAUCAUAAGUUUUGGCGUGUACAAAUUCGACUAAACACAUGGAAACGCCACAAAAACGAUCGGCAUAUUAUAGACAAAACUCGUGGAGCCCGACACGUAAGGUUUUUCGUCAUAUGUCUGAUGAACAAAAGCAAAAAUCCAUUCACCGCAAAGCUGUGAUUUCUGAAUGUUUGGCUGUAUUAGAUCAUGCAAGCAAAUGUACAGUUGAUGGUUGCAAAUUCAAAAGAUGCAAAUCGAUGAAGAAUGUUUGGAAACAUUUUAAAAACUGUUCUGAGGAGAAAGAAAACUUUUCAAAAUGCCCUAUUUGUAAAAGAGUUCAAUAUUUGUUGCAGUACCACGCACACGAAUGUAACAAUGAUAACUGCACAGUUGUCAAAUGUUUUGAGCUUAAGAAGGCUUUUCUAGAAAAGCAAAGAAGAGAGAAGAAAUUUCUAACUAACUUUAUCAAUUUUCGCUUAUCUGCCGUGCCAACGAUCAUAGAAGCUCGACCAAGAAAUGAUAUAUCAAAGCCGGAUGAAACAUCAAAUGCUCCUUGUAGCUUUUCGAAUAAAAUGACAAAAAUUUAACUCAAAGUAAUAAGAAACUAGAAAAUAUCAUCGAAUGAAUACACUGCCAUCAAUAAAUUGGUGGGGCUCAACUAUAAAGAAAUUAUAGAGAAUAUUAUUAUACAUAAAAUCUUUUUCAUUCCUUUCAACCAGCUGUAUUUUCCUUGUAAAAUUUCAAAAUGGUUAUUUGUUUCAUUUCUUCAUAUUCAAAAAAGUUUUUAUUUUAAGAGUGCAGAGGCUUUCGUCAAAGUAGAAAGUACCAUUGCAAACAAACUGAACUCAGAAUUUUUUAUCUAGCAAUUUUUGACUUAGUGCCAUUUUGCACCAAUAUGUCCUUUCUGUAGCCCAAUAAUCAAGUAAAUAAAAACAAAUAAUGAGAAA